AUUGAACGCUGGCGGCAUGCCUUACACAUGCAAGUCGAACGGUAACAGGUUAAGCUGACGAGUGGCGAACGGGUGAGUAAUGUAUCGGAACGUGCCCAGUCGUGGGGGAUAACUGCUCGAAAGAGCAGCUAAUACCGCAUACGACCUGAGGGUGAAAGCGGGGGAUCGCAAGACCUCGCGCGAUUGGAGCGGCCGAUAUCAGAUUAGGUAGUUGGUGAGGUAAAGGCUCACCAAGCCGACGAUCUGUAGCUGGUCUGAGAGGGCGACCAGCCACACUGGGACUGAGACACGGCCCAGACUCCUACGGGAGGCAGCAGUGGGGAAUUUUGGACAAAGGGCGCAAGCCUGAUCCAGCCAUGCCGCGUGCGGGAAGAAGGCCUUCGGGUUGUAAACCGCUUUUGUCAGGGAAGAAAAGGUUCUGGCUAAUACCUGGGACUCAUGACGGUACCUGAAGAAUAAGCACCGGCUAACUACGUG
rnacentral:rRNA from 1 species